CCGCAACUCAGAUGCCAUGAACCCCGAGGCGCGCUGUCGCGCGGAUCGCCCAGGCCCCGGGGGGAGCAAAUCGCGAAACCGGCUGGGCGAGA
rnacentral:ncRNA from 1 species